GAUGAACGCUGGCGGCGUGCCUAAUACAUGCAAGUCGAGCGAACAGACGAGGAUCUUGCUCCUCUGACGUUAGCGGCGGACGGGUGAGUAACACGUGGAUAACCUACCUAUAAGACUGGGAUAACUUCGGGAAACCGGAGCUAAUACCGGAUAAUAUAUUGAACCGCAUGGUUCAAUAGUGAAAGACGUUUCUGCUGUCACUUAUAGAUGGUUCCAGGCCGGAUUAGCUAGUUGGUAGGGUAACGGCCUACCAAGGCUACGAUGCGUAGCCGAUCUGAGAGGAUGAUCAGGCACACUGGAACUGAGACACGGUCCAGACUCCUACGGGAGGCAGCAGUAGGGAAUCUUCGACAAUGGGCGAAAGCCUGACGCAGCCACGCCGCGUGAGUGAUGAAGGUCUUCGGAUCGUAAAACUCUGUUAGUAGGGAAGAACAAAAGUGAGAGAAAAUAUGCACGUCUUGACGGUACCUAAACAGAAAGCAACGGCUAACUACGUG
rnacentral:rRNA from 1 species